rnacentral:lncRNA from 1 species
GAGCAGUUCUUCUGAGAAACAUUGCUCUUGCUUAUUCCUGUGAUGAUGAAAUCAAUGUCAGGGAUGGGAAUAAAAGCAACAGAGGCUCACGCUUGUACAAAACCAGCCCAGCACAAGAAAGGUGUCAGCAGCUGUGGACAUAGCGAGAGGAGCAAGAACAGUCAGAAAACCUGCUGGCCAAGUGGCAGCCCAGCUGUACCUCCUAGCUUCCGUCCUUUUUGGAUAAUGAAAGAAGCCGCAGUUUCUUAAAGGAAGGACAGAGGAACAUCCUCUUCAGACUGACGCAAAAAGGGUUAAAGGUUUCAGCCAUGGACUCCAGCACCUGGAGGAUCUGCAUGUUCUUACAGAGACCCAGGAAAAGGAACAAAUAGAGACAGCACAAUCCCUGGGACAACAGAGCAUUGUAUCUGGCUUCACUCUCUCUGGCUUGGUAAUGUAAAACCAAAGGUUUCCAAGUGGUGCUCUCAAAACAGAAAAUCUCUUGUUCUGAGCACCAAGAGGGCUCAUCUGAGCAGGGUCUGUGGAAUUCAGGAGCCCCAGCAUCCCACUGCUGAGGGCUUCUGUUCUCGGGGAAUCAUAAAAUACAGGCUACUUGCAUCUGUGCUGCAGAAAAACAAAAAGAAAAACAAACCAGUUUG